rnacentral:lncRNA from 1 species
AUGAUUGUCCAUUGGGUUGUCGAUAUGCUAUGUGUUUAAAAUAUAAUAUAAUAAAAUAAUAAAUAUUGAUAUUGUAUUGAUGUAUUAUAAAAUAAUAAAAUAUACUAUUAAUUACUUCUGCAGGUAGAACAUGGGAUUGCGAUUUCGUGGAAAUGUCAGAGCGACUGACAUUGAGUUUUAUCGCGACGAGCUGGAUCAGCAGAAAGAGUCAUAAGUACGUAUAGAUUUUAUAAAUUAAAUAAAUGCACAAACAUUCUAAAAUUUUACAUUCAUU